rnacentral:rRNA from 1 species
CCUACGGGUGGCAGCAGUGGGGAAUAUUGGGCAAUGGGCGCAAGCCUGACCCAGCAACGCCGCGUGAAGGAAGAAGGCUUUCGGGUUGUAAACUUCUUUUCUCAGGGACGCAGCAAGUGACGGUACCUGCGGAAUAAGACUCGGCUAACUACGUGCAAGCAGCCGCGGUGAUACGUAGGUGGCAAGCGUUAUCCGGAUUUACUGGGUGUAAAGGGCGUGUAGGCGGGAAAGCAAGUCAGAUGUGAAAACCAUGGGCUCAACCUGUGGCCUGCAUUUGAAACUGGUUUUCUUGAGUACUGGAGAGGCAUACGGAAUUCGUGGUGUAGCGGUGAAAUGCGUAGAUAUUAGGAAGAACACCAGUGGCGAAGGCGGUCUGCUGGAGAGCAACUGACGCUGAUGCGCGAAAGCGUGGGGAGCAAACAGGAUGAGAUACCCUAGUAGUC